GGAUUGCCUUAGUAACGGCGAGUGAAGCGGCAACAGCUCAAAUUUGAAAGCUGGCUCCUUUGGAGUCCGCGUUGUAAUUUGUAGAGGAUGAUUCGGCAAGGGCUCCCGCCUAAGUCUCCUGGAACGGAGCGUCAUAGAGGGUGAGAAUCCCGUAUGCGGUGGGCUGCCUAAGCCAUGUGAAUCUCCUUCGACGAGUCGAGUUGUUUGGGAAUGCAGCUCUAAAUGGGAGGUAAAUUUCUUCUAAAGCUAAAUACCGGCCAGAGACCGAUAGCGCACAAGUAGAGUGAUCGAAAGAUGAAAAGCACUUUGGAAAGAGAGUUAAAAAGUACGUGAAAUUGUUGAAAGGGAAGCGCUUGCAGCCAGACUUGUCCGCAGUUGCUCAGCCGGUCUCCUGACCGGUGUACUCUUCUGCGGCCAGGCCAGCAUCAGUUCGGGCGGUCGGAUAAAGACCUCGGGAAUGUAGCUCCUCUCGGGGAGUGUUAUAGCCCGGGGUGGAAUGCGGCCAGCCUGGACUGAGGAUCUCGCUUCGGCUAGGAUGCUGGCGUAAUGGCUGUAAGCGGCCCGUCUUGAAAC
rnacentral:rRNA from 1 species